rnacentral:lncRNA from 1 species
CAGCCGCCAUGUGCGCAUCCGCCUCCCCCGCAUCCGGCACUGCGGCCGGCGACCGCGCCUGCGGCCGCCGCUGCGGCUGCAGGGGCUGCUGCUGGUCCGCCCUGGGUUGCAGGAGCGCGACGCCGCCCGCGGCGAGGUCAGCCUUACGCACGCACCACACGGUGAAGUGCACGGGUGGCACGCUCCAGUCAGCUGCCAUCCGGGCCGCCGCUGCGGAGGCGUUCUCAUGCGCCUGUGCCGGCGACACGGCUGCGGCGGUGGCGGCGGCGGUCGAGGCCCAGGGGGCGGGCGGAUGCAGGCAGCGCGCAAAGACGAGUGCGUCGCCGACCGUCGGCUUGUAGUGAUCCAACAUGGCUUUGGUGUCGUGCAGGCGCUGAGCGCUGUUGCCGUUGCCGCGCACGCGCAUCUGCGGGUGUAGGUGCACACAUGCAGCGUUGGCGCGACGUCAAAGCACCGGCCUGAAGACGGCCCCAACGGCCAGCGCCAAUUCCACGCGGCAUGCAGCAGGUGCGGAAAACGCGCGGAAAAAGCAGCACGCGUGUGGUAUUCGAGCCACGGUGCGAUGCCGGGGCGAUGCCUUUAAACUCCCGGUUCCCCACACACGAUUCCUCCUUGCAGCUGAACCUACAACCACUGCCAAAACCUACCGCCCAGCUCCCGCCGCCUGCGCCGUCGUGCAGGAUCACAGGCCCGCAGAAGGGGUGUUCCCCGUUAUCGGCGUGUAGGCCGUGGAAGACUCCGUCCUCGCCAGUCAUGGCUGACGUAAAGCAGAUGGGCCCGCCCUUGACACUGUCCACCUCCGAGUUCGACAGCUGCUUGCUACAGAGCCUGUCCAGACUGGCUCCUGCGCCGCCGCCGCGUCCGCCACCACCCAUGAGGAGCGGCGGCGGCUGAGGCAGAGCCCGCGGCCGAGAUCGAGGCGUCGGGCUGACCGACCCGGCCGGCCCCUGCGGCGUGGCUUGAAGCUGGAGCGGCGCCGGCUUCGAGCGAAUGGCGCGCUCUUCGGAUAAAUCUGGGGUCGUCUGCGGCGGCGGCGGCGGCGGCCUACGCGGCACGGCGGCGCGGGCGGCGGCUGUGCCUUCUUCAGCUCCCUUGGAGUCUGAGGGUGACGGUCUCGCCGCGACCUUUUCCAAAGUGGGCUUCCGUAGGGCCGGCGACGCGCCCUCGGCUGCAGGCGCCGCCGCCGCCACGACAGCCCCGGCAGAGCCGCUGGGUACACGGCCCUGCUGCCGCUCCCACUGCGAGCCCGACGCCUCCUCGCCCUCCUCCUCCCCGCCGUCUCGAGACGCCCGAGACCCCUGCGCCCCCGCGCCCGCGUCGCCAGGAGCCGCCGAAGUCGGGCCCCGCCCUCCGCUGGUGGUGAUCACAGCGCCCACGGUCUCGCCACUGUAGCGGUCGCCGCCACCACCCGCGCUCCCAGGCGCAGCGACUGAGCGGGCCCCGCCGCCACCGCCGCCCAAGCCGCCCAGCCCACCAACGUUGCCGCUGCUGCCAACCUGUGCAAGGCCCGACAGCUCCGCCAGCGGCGGCGGCGCCGCCGGCGCCGCGCCAAAUCCCAACGCAGGGUGCCGGCUGCCUUGCUCUGCGCCUCCGAGCCCAGCAGCCCCUGCUACCGCGCCCGCAUGCACGCAAACGCCGGCGCUGCCGCCCGCGCCCGCGCCCGCCGCUGCUGCGUCCGCCUCCUCGCCAGCGGGCCUGAGCAGUGCGACAAUCUCGUACGGCCGCGCCGGCCUGGGCGGGUCCGCAGGCCCGGAGGCGCAGCUGCCGUUGGCUCGCAGCAGUGUGUAGCGGCCCCGCGGCACGCCCUCCACCGGCUCCCUGAUGAGUUGCAGGCCUGCCGCCUCGGGCGUGGUCGGGUCCAGAACGCCGCCGUCCGCCGUCAGCCACCUCGAGGGGCCGUUCAGGCGGAUGCGCCACGCCGCGUCCUUGCCCUUGCCCUUCGCCUUGCCGCCCGCGCCCCUGCCGGCCGCUGCCGCCCCGGCCGGGGCACCUGCGGCGGCGGCGGCGGCGCCGCCGCCCGUGACCUCUUGCAGCGGGCGCAGUGUGUCCGCAGCGCUCAAGCCGAGGACCGUGAAGAGCACUGCGCCGGCCCCGUCGCCGUCCGACACAGGCACCAUGUCUUGAGCUCCGGCGCCCGCGCCGCUGUCCAGCACCAGCGGCCCCAGCUCGGCGACGCAGGUGAGGCCCGCGGCGCGCAGGUCUGCCGGCUUCAGGGCCAGCAGCUUGCGACGCGGCGCGGCAGGGUCGCGCGACGGCAAGACGGUGACUGUGAAGUGAAUGGUAAAGGCCCGGACGCAGUGGCCCGCACGCAGGGCGUCCAGCUGGUUCCCGUCAUGCGGCGGUUGGCCUGCAGUCGCUGGCUGGGGGGCUGUCGCGGCUGCGGCUGCGGCUGCGGCUGCCCCCACCGCCGGUUGGGUUGCUGCCGCCACCAGGGUGGCUUCUGCUGCGUCUGCUGGUGCCGCUGCGGUGGCAGUUGGCGCCGCUGCAGGGUCGGACCCCGCGGCGGGUGCAGUCGCCGCAGCGGGCUCCCCGCCAGCGUCCGCCAUGUGAGCCUCCACCAAUGCCUGCUGUGCCUGCGGCGCAGCUAUGGGCGCUGUAGCUGCGGGGCUGGGUGCUGUCGCAACCGCAGCUGCCACCUGUGGCGGCGCGGCAGAGGGCAGGACCUCCACCGCAGCGCUGCCGGCGGGCGGCGGCGCUGCCUCUGGCCCCAUCGCGGCCAGCAGCACGGUUUGCAGGGACGGCGGCGAGACGGCGAAUGCAGACGCAGCCGGUUGCUUAGGCCCCGGCGCAGGCUGGAGCCCGCAGCCGCUCGCAUGCACAGCGGCAGUCGCGGCCUCGGGAGCCGCCGCAGGAGGGGCUACAGCUGCGACCGCGGCUGGCACCGGCUGCACCUCGUGCGAGCCAGCCUCGGCACCAGCUGUGCCACCGCCCGCGGCGGCGCCAACAUUUGCAGCAGCCGGGGCGGUGUCUGACCCCAGCGCAGGACCGCCCCCUACUACGCCUGCCCGUGGUGUUCCUGCAUCCGCCGCCGCCCCAACCGCCGCGCCCACGUCACUUAAUCCGACCACCUGGACUGGCAGCUGCUGCUGGGGCUGCUGCGUGGGCUGGUCACGUGGCUCCGACUGUUGGCCCGCCGAUGGCUCCACUGGCGACCCAGCCGCACCUGCAGCGACACCGGUGCUUACAGUCUUGGCAGGCGACAACGCAGCCGCCUCUGGCACCGGUGCCUGCCGCGGGAUUGCGAAUUUGUUCUUGCGGUGGCGGCGGAGCAGCGCCAGGGAGCUCACAUUGGCGAAGUCCACCGCCGGGGCUGCAGCUGAAGGCGCAGCCGUAGGAGGAGCUGUAGGUGCAGCUGAAGGUGCAGCUGUAGGUGCAGCUGUAGGUGCAACUGGCAUUUGGCGUGAGAGGUGUAAGAGAAGGCGGGGGCCACAGAGGGUAAGGAGAGGUAUGGCAUCUGCAGCCUCAUUGUAGCGGUAGCAGGCAGCUUUAACGACUUACGAGCGGUUCCCGCCGGAUUUCCACAGCUCCCCUUCGCUCCACCCUCAGCCGAUUGAGAGUCCGCAGGCUGUACAUCCAUGGUCAACUCGUUGUAUUCCAAAGCUCAAGGCAUGGCACCUCGCUUGCGCAACUCUCCCGACAAUGGCGCACUCCCCGGCGAGCCGUUCCGCCGCAUCAUAGCAACUAUGGAGUACAUGCAAUAUUUAGGCAUGCGUUUGCAUCGCUAAUUGCAAUAGGCACGUCUUGCCGAGGCAAGCCUAUACACGGCGGAUAUUUCUUUCGAGGGCGAACCUAGCCAGGCGUGGAGUACGUUGGUUUGAAUGUUGUUUGCGUAGAAAACUCCAGAUGUGGCUACGGAGUUGCGGAAGGGAUGAAUUUCUGCUGAACCCCAUUCCAGGCCCAGCCCUGGCCCUGAUAGCCCCGACCGCUCCCGGGGGACUGUUUGCAGGCUUGCCGUUAUCUUACAAGGUACCAGACUUCCUGCCAACAACGUCAGAUACCGAGAAGGUUGCAGGUCUGGGCGUUAAGCCCAGGAAUAUCGGCAUGCCAUUUCGUAACCAGCACUUUCUGGCAACCCGGUGCACACAACCUCCUCUGUCUCUGCUUCUCCGGUCAGGCCGCUCAAGCGGUCACUUGCUCAUGUGGAUAUGUGCACUUCAUUGAGUGCGCGCCUGCAUUGGGAUGCAGAUUCAACUGUAGAACCUCUGCCAGGGGAGUGGCACUCCCCUGACCUCUGCCCCUUGCGCUUACUCAAUACGAUUCCAUCGACUAGAGGCUGUUGCCACACGUCGUACUGCUCAUACAGGCCUCACGCGUUUUACUAAGCUAGCAUGAACGUCAAUGGGGGGGGCUGUGCGCGUUCAGGGGUACACGGUGGACGUUCGGGACAGUCGUUGCGGAUGGGCGGGAGAGGACAGUUCGUGCGGGAUCUGUGCGGCAGGCACGGUAAUUGAUGGGGGCGCCUGAAAAGACAGAUGAGCCAGUGCGGACCGGGGGAGGGAGCGAUUGGACUUGCUGUUCGCGCGACUGAAGAUGGAGGGAUGGGCGAAACAGGGGAAAUCGGUAACGGUAGUGGAGGGUCGGAGAACUUGGUUGGGCGGGGAAAGUAGUGGGAGGAGUGGGAAAAGUGUCUGUGUGUUCGUGGGGCGGCGGGAACGUGGCCCGCCGAGACUGCGCAAGUUCAGAAAAGACAGAAUGGAAGGUUCCAGACGAGGCCCGUGCUCAUGACGGCUUUUAUACGAGCUUUUAGCACACGUCCAUCACAUCUAUAUUGCCCAGGGGGCGACUGCGUUGCAAUCUCAGCACACAGCAUGCCAAGUUAUUGCACGCUCGUCCCAUGACAACUACAUCAGCGGGCAGACGUGAUCAAGGACUGGGCGCCAAAUUAAAUCACGUCAACACUCCGUAUACGUUGUUUUUACCCGCCGUUUCCUACGGAGAAAGCACGCAGAUACGGUCAAUUCAAUCUGGAAGCUCACACUUGGCGGUACAAACGUCUAAGUCUGCACACGCACGUCAGGCUGCGGUCACGCCUGAAUGCAUGAACAUGUAACACAUUUCACCUUGCUUUUAUAUCAUGGCUAUUCACGUGCCAACCUGCUGGGAGUUUCUGUCUCCAUCAACCUGCACUUCAAGCCAUAGUGUCGCUCCUGCAUCACGUUCCUACAGGCCACGCCGCGCGUGGCCAACACGCCAGCACACGCCGGGUUCUGCGCGGACCCGGCCGUGGACCGCACACACCCCCGCCGCAUUCACGGUGCCACGAGGCCGCACCCCACGUAGCAUACCGCAACACAUCACAGGUUCUUGGUGCUGAUGUAGUAGGGGCAGACCGCAAUGCUGAAGACGUUGCCUGCGGAUCGGCAGCAGUCCAGAGAAUGGAUACCAGUCACCACCGUAAUCCACACGCGUAACCCAGUUGCUACAGCCAUACGUAUCUAGAGGCAGGGUAUAUAUGUUUGUAUGUGCGGUUGUACGUUGUAUGUGCGCGCGUGCAGCGUGCGGACCUCCCCUCCUCAAUCUGCACGUAGACAGUGCCGGCCACACAGCCACUCCCCCGGUCCGAUGCACGCCGCUGUCACGUCCGAUGAAACGUCACGCCACGUUCCACCCACCCUGCCGUUGAGACUAUUCCAUUCGUAUGGGCUCUGGCUUGUAAUGUGCCUACCCACCCACCCACCCACCCACCCACCCACCCACCCACCCAGUCCUCCCACCACGCCCACGCCCACCUGUGAUGUGCUCCAGGCGCCACAUGCGCUCCCGCGCCCGCCGCCGCAGCACCACCACGUCGUACAGGUCGUCCAGCAUCUGGUGGUGGGCGGGUGGGGCGGGGGGCGGGCCGGGGUCAGUCGAGUGGCCGUGGGGCCUUCACGACUACGGACAAAGCACCGGAGCCGGUAAUUUCGCAUGACCAACCCUUUUCACCCACUGGGUAGCCGAGGUCAGCGCCUAACCAUACAUACAUAUACACACCCACCCACCCACCCACCCACCCACCCACCCACCCACCCACCCACCCACACCCACACCCACACCCACACCCACACCCACACCCACACCCACACCCACACCCACACCCACACCCACACCCACACCCACACCCACACCCACACCCACACCCACACCCACACCCACACCCACACCCACACACACACCCACACACACACACACACACACACACACACACACACACACACACGCACACACACCACCAUCAUGCCGCGCAUGGGCUGGAAGCUCUCUGGCUCUGAGACCCUCAAAGUCCCCCUAGCGAAGCUGUCCGUCCGCAUGGCCACAUCCAUGCAGCUGGACGAUGUGGCCACGCGGCGGGCGGACCUACACGAGGAUUAUGAGCGCGCGGCACAGGGCCUCCCGCCGCGCGCUGUGGUGCGGCGGGAGGACCUGCCAGCAGCUGCGGCUGCAACGCUUGGCGCCAUUAGGGACACCCUGGCGCGCCUUUGGCAGAAGGUGUGGUGGGAACGGCGACACUUUGAGACGCUGUGGCGGUUGGCCAUCGACGCAGUGCCGCUGCCGGGAAACUCGCAUAUGCCGUUGGCUCGCCGUGAGCCAUGCGGCUGUGGGCAACACGGCCAUGGGGGCGCCGCGGUGGAGACACACGCCGCCGCCGCGCCCACGCCACGGCAGCACCACUUCUGGGAUUGCGCGGUGGCGAAGGCCGUGGUGGCGCAGAUCAACGCACACAACCCCGGUCCGGCUCCCAUCAGCCAAGCCCAGCUGUGGCUGGUUCAGGCGCCGCCGGGUUUUCAGCAGUGUGUUUGGGACGUGGUGGUGAUGGCGGCGCUGGCCGCCACAGAACAUGGCCGGGUGCGGCUGCGCGGGAUGACGCGCGCCGCAGCGGCCCUGGGAAUUCAGACGGCGGCGGCAGCAGCUCCCGAGGCUGCGGUGGCAGGUGCAGCGGAGGCGGAACCCGAUCUUGACGAGAUCCCGCCCACACAGCUGACGCCGCCGCAGCCAGGCGUCAACCCCGUCGAGCUUGCGUGCGCUCGUGCAGUCGCGGACUUCUGGUCGCGGCUGAUGCAGUUUGCGCAGCUCGGCGUGCCCCAAAAGGGCUGGGAUGGUGUUGACGCCACUCACCCCAUCCUGGCGGUGGUGAACGGUGAAAUGCUGUGCGCGAUGCCGCAAGCUAUGGAGCUGGAGGCUUGAAAGGGAUCAGCCCUUAGGAGAAGCGCGUGAGCACUAACAUGAGCCACUGAAGCAGUGGCAUACGAGAGGGUCAGCGGGGGAGCUUAGUGGGCAGGCGAAGGGUUUUUUUUGUUUUACGCCCGUGGGAGCAGGGCCAGGUUUGCGGGGUUUUUAUGCCUGAGAGGGUGUAUUGGGUGCUGCAACACCCCGGGUCUUACGGCCUGGACCGGCCUAGUGGCCAGACGCGUUUGUGGCUGCCCUUAGGCAUUGUCUGCCCUGGCGUCGAGAGCUGGUUAGGUUGCGGUUGAGGUCGUGCAGGCUGCCGGGUCGUAGGACUCAGCCCCGCAGCCACUGUGGUCGUGCUUUCGCGUGCUGUCACGUGCUGAGUGUUUUGUUUUGUUUGCUGUUUUUGUCUGCCCGCCUGGUUUUAUUAAGAGGUAGCUCGCCCGCUGGGUCUGAGGUUGUUACACCGGUAGUAAUUCCGCAAGGAUUACUGGCGCGGUGAAGGGUCGGAGUGCGUUGCCCUGUGGACUCCAGAGCUGUUUUGCGCUCUGCCGGGGAAACGCCAGGUCACGGCAGCCCUCGAUUGAGAGCCCUGUCGUUGGUUAUACCAGAUACACGAUUCACGUGAUCUGGCAGAAUAACCGUGGAAACCGUAGUCACACACACACACACACACACACACACACACACACACACACACACACACACACACACACACACACACACACACACACACACACACACACACACACACACACACACACACACACACACACACACACACACACACACACACACACACACACACACACACACACACACACACACACACACAGAGAGAUACACACACACAGAGAGAUACACACACACACAGCACAACGUGACCGCAGCCCGAGUCCCGCACAUCCAACACCUGCAACUUUCACCCGGCCCCCUGGGUCCCCUCGCCCCAGCGCCUCACCUCGCGGUUGAGCGCGAAGUGUGUGUGGCGCAUAGCGUUGACGAUGGAGGCCAGGAAGGACAGGUCGAUCACGUCCAGGUCCAGCGGCACGCGCGUCACCGGGUCCGUGAUCUGGUACACGCGCCUGCCCUGCAUGUGUAUGCCACACGUGCCGGUGCAUGUGUUCGCGAGCACAGGCAUGGCAUGGGGUGUUAGAAGAGCACAAGAAAGGGGCGACAUCGUGCUGUACACGUGUGUGGGUGCACGCGAGUGGAAGUACAGUCGAACCACCUGAGGAAGUGUGGCAGGAUCGGCCAGGCGCAGUGGCCUUGAACACAGGGGUCAGUGUCGCACAGCCAUCGCGCAGUCCCUCCCACCCCCGCCUGUGACACACGCGCCGCCACCCACCAGGCUCUUCUCCAACCAACCGUACAACACGGGCUUGCGCAGGCGGCGGCGGUAAUGCACCACCCGCUCGCACCACCACGCCAGCUCCUUCGCUCCCUCCUCUUCUUCUUCCUCCUCCUCCUGCUGCCCAUGCCCCUCUCCAUGCCCGGCAGCCGGCGCCGCCGCCUCCACGUCAGCUAAGAAAGCUGCGACAGCCUUGCGCGCCGCUGGGCGCAGGCGCUGCAGCCGCGAGUCAAACAUCGUCAUCAAAAAGUAGUAUAGACAACGCACGCUGCAUAUCGGGAAGUGCGAAAGCGGCAAAGCGCGCAGCAAAACUGCACGCGUCCAGAACUGCGGUUGCGAAGGCCAUUGCCUCUGAGUCCGUGCUGGCUGGAUGUUUUCGUUUGUUAGGGCAGCAGCAUGCUCGCCAUCAAGAAGAGUGUAGAGUGAGCAGCGGGCCCCUUGCAGACCAAUGGGGUUUUAAACAUUGAUGCCAAAAUUUCACAACCAGAUCAAACUGUGAUUGCAACAGCGCGUUCUUACACUGUAAUCGUUCAGCAAUCGAAAUACACGCGUGUUGCCCUGAGCGGCAUCGCCGCGCGCAAAAUAGUAGUCUCUUUUGGCGCGCUCCGACAACUGGGGCGCCCGCUCUCGCCAGCGCUCUCGCCGUGUUAGCCUGCAAUCCAAUUGAAAUGAUGCAUUGCUCUCCCGACCAUUUCUAAUGCUGUGACCGGAUGCAUCAUCGUGGUUCCUCCGCUCACGCACUCCGCAUAGCAACACUCUGCCUGCCUUUGACUGGAACCCGCGCCCUGGCAACCGUCAAACGUAGAGCAGGUACAGACCACCCUCGCCAGCGCCCAACGGACUGUCAAAUUUCAUCCAGUCAUAGCAACUGCCCUGCCGUCAGCAUUCUUGCCCGCAUGAAAUUUACAUACCAUACAGUACCGUAAUGGGACACGCGCACUUAUCUUACAAGUUACAACUAUUCCCAGACCCCGCACCGGCGGUGGCAUGCCGCCCGCAAAUCCCUCGCCAACGCCCAGCCCCGCGUUGCCAGCUGCCGCCGCAGCAUGUGCACGCCGCCGCCGCUGGGGCCACCGCCGAGGCCGCCGCCUUAGCGGGCGCUGCCGCUGCCGCCCGCCGGAGCGCUGCCGGCAGGGAAGCGCCAGCCCAACGGCGUCGCCGCCAGCCGCGCCGCGCGCCACUCCAUGAAGCUCCUGGGCGCGUUGGGGUUGGGCCCGGGCCCGCCCGGCUCCGAGUCGGGGUCGAAGAUGUUGCUUCGCAGCCGGAUCCUUUUCAUCCGCCGCAGAAUUAGCUCCUCGCACCCCAUGUCAGGAAGGUAGUGAAGCCGCCCGCCCACUACCUCGUCCAGCGGCGGAAGCUGGUGGCGGUACGGAUCACUGCGGUCGGCAGCAGUCGCACGGCGGCAGGGAGGGGCAGGGGUGGCGGCAGGGGUGGGGGCAGGGGGAGGGGUAGGGAGGGGGUGUUGGACAGAAGCCACGUGGGUAACAGUGAAGGGACAUGCAGACGGUCGGGGCUGGGAAGGAUGGGCACGGUUGCCUGCCAUGCAUGGGCGCGUGACCAAGUAAGCUGAAUUACAAGGUAUCCCCAAACCAGACAUAACCAAGCAAAGGAGCCCUUUCGGUUUACCUGAAUGGCUCGUAGCGCCCAGAGCUGCAAUCACCGCCGCCGCCGCCUAGCCUGCUGUUGGCGGCGCCGCUGCCGGCUGCUGCUGAUGCCGGUGACUCCUUGGCCGGCACGUCACGGCCGGGCCCGCUGCCUGCCGCGCGCCGUGCCUCUCGGCCCUGAGCACCUGCGGCCUCCUCCGCGAGUGGCACGGCAUCGGCCGCACCGCCUGCUGGUGCCGCUGCCGCUGCCGCUGCCGCUGUGGCUGUGGCUGAUGCACCUGCGGUGCUCGAGUGAGUGCGGAGGUCCUCCCACUCAGCCGUCGCGGUCGCGGCACCACCAUGACCGUCACCGUCGCCCCAGCCGCCCGAUGCUUCAGCCGCAGUCGCGGCGGAGGGCUCCGCGCCGCCGGCUUGGUGUGGCUCGGGCGCGUCAGCCGCAGCGGCGCCCUUCCCACCCGCCGUGCCACGCACUUGCGCGGAUGUCGCUGCAGCGGCCACGUCUGAUGUGCCUGCGCUGCUCCGGUACACGGAGCCCCCGACCCAGCCUACCGGACCCACCGCGUCACCGCGAGCUUCCGCUUGGGCCUCAGGUGCCAUGCCUGCCCCGUCCCCCUCGCCGCCACCGCCAGCACACCGGCCGCCCUCUGCUUCGGCGCGGCGGCGCUUGCCCGACUCCGGGCUUGACCCCGCUGCCCGCUCGCCAUCCUGCGCCUGGCUUCCUGACUGGCCAGGACUGCGCCCCCGCGGGCCAGGCUCCGGGUCCCGCUCGCGCCCCUGGCCUCGGUCCCGGCCUCGGUCUGAAGCCUUGCCGCUGCUGCGGCCCGGAUCCCGCUUUGGCUCCGGCCCUGGCUUCGGCUCGUUGCCGCUGCCGCCGCCGCGCGCUCGCCCCUCCAGGUCAUGCUGCCGCUCCUGCUCGCCCUCGCGCCGGCGCUUCUGCCCCCGGUCGCUAUCACGCUCCCGCUCUCGCUCCUGCUCCCGGCCGCGUGUAGACUCCUUCUCGUCAUGCUUGCGUUGCUGGUCAUGCUCGCGCUCACUGCCGCGCUCCCGCGUCUGCUCCAGCUCGGGGCCGCGCUUCCGGUCCCCGCCCCUGCCGCCCUCCUUGUCCCGGUCCCGCUGCCGGUCUCGCUCGCGCCCCGGCUCCGCCGUGCGCUUUUUCUCACGAGACCGGUCGCGGUCACGCUUGCGGUCAGCGUCACGUGGCCUUUCGCGCCCCGAGCUGUGGGCCUGCGGCUGGUCAUAGUCGCUGCUGUUGCCCUGCGGCUGCUCAUCCCGCCCUCGCUUUUUAUCGUUCGGCUGCUGCUCCACGCCCAGCCCUUGCUCGCGCUCCACAGCUGGCUCCCUGUCCAAAGCCUGGGCCUGCGGCAGCGGCAGUGCUGCUGACAAGAGUGCGGAGAGCGAACCGGCCUGUCCUGGUGGCUGCUCGUGUGGGGACGGAAGAGGCGGCUGUUGCGAGGGCUGCAGCUGCGGUUGGGGCGACAGCGGAGGUUGUGGCUGCUGCGGCUCUAGCGGCUGUAGUGGUGCCGCCACUGGCGGCGACACCAGCGGCUGCUCGGCCGGCUGCGGCUGCGGCGGUGGCGACAUGCUUUGCACCGCAGACGGAGACAAGACGAUUGGCGUGCACCCGGUGCUGGACCGUCGCCGCAUGGUCCCUGAAGCAUCUAGGCCCUCCUGCUGCUGGUGCUGCAUUCCUCCUGCCUUAUCCUUGCCAGUUUGGCCUUGCUGCGCAGCCUGUGGGCUCCCCACUCCCACGUCCGGCUGCAAGGCGGCCCCCACCUGCCCUGCUGCCUUGCUGCGAUGCCUUUGGCUGUCGGUUCCACCGCGCUCUUCACGCGGCCGGGAUUCCUGCCGUUGCUCGUUCGUGUCAGGCACAGACCGCGGCGUGUUAGAAGCCGUCGGAGCAGCUGCGCCCGCUAGGUGUGGUGGGAGGAGCGACGGAGACAGCGGCCGCAGCGAUUCCUGCUGUUGCUGCAUCUGCAUCUGCUGCAGCUGGCCCUGCGCUAACGGCGGUGGCGGCGGUAGUGCCUGCUGCUGCGACUGUGGCUGGCGGCCCGUUUCCGCAUCACGGGACGCCUGUUUGUCGCGCUCCCGCUCCUUGCUGCUGUCUUGCCGCCGAGCCGAAUCUGUCCGGUCUCGGUCGCGCUUCCCUUGACGUUCCCGAUCGCGGUCACCGUCCCGGCUGCGGUCUCGCGCUGCAGGCUUCGCUGCUGCCGCCGCCGCCGCAGCGUCCGCCGCUUUUGGCGUGCCUGUGUUAUGACCAAAAGCACCCAAAGAUGCGGGGCGAGGGGAGGGCGGCAGCUGCUGCGGAGCUGCUGCUGCUGCUGCUGCCGCCAUCGUCGGCGCUGCCGGGCUUGGUCCUGUGGCCGCCGCUGCUGCUGCUGCUGAGGGCUCGCUGCUGCCAUGGCCGUCAGCCCGGUCGCUCUUGCUGGGUUCCGCUCCGCGUUCCUUGCCACGCAGCGACUGCUGCGAAUCUUUGCCCUCGGCACGCUCUUGCUGCUUGCGCUUCUCCCUCUCCUUCUCCUUCUCCCUGUCCCUAUCGCGCUCCUUCUCUUUCCCCCGCUCUUUGUCCCUGUCCUUAUCCUUCUGCUGCUGCCGCACCUUGUCGGCAUCCAUGCCGCGCUGCCUGUCGCCACUCACGGCACGAUCCCGGUCCCGGUCCCGGUCCCGAUCCCGAUCCCGGUCCCGGUCCCGGUCCCGGUCGCGCUCACGCUCCCGGUCCUUUGGGCGGCCGUCGCCGUGCUCCUUGUCGGCGCUGAGGCCCUGCGCCUCAUCCCGGCGCCGGCUGCGCUCUUGCUCCGGCUUCUGCCGGCCGCCCUCGCGGUCCCGACCGCGGUCUCGGCCCCUGGUGUCGCUACGCUCCCGCUCUCGCUCCCGCUUGCGCUCCCGAUCGCGGUCACGGGCCGCGUCGCAAUGGCCGUCGCCGCCGCCAGCUGCGGUCGAGUCGACGGCACGCCGCCUGUCGGGUGUUGCGUCAGCUGUGGACGUGGUGGCUGCCGGCGGCCGUGUCGGUUGGGCUGCGCCGUUGUCGGGCGUUGCCGCAGGGGCAGUGCCGCUCGGCGUCGUGACAGCGCCCCUGCCGCCUGCGUCGUCGCGCUGGCUGGCGCCAUGUUGCGGCGAGCGAGGCAGCGACAGCUGCGGCGGCGGCAGACCCUGCUGCAGCUGCGGUGGCUGCAGCGGAACCGCUGCUGCAACUCCUGCCUCCCCACCAGCACUGCCCGCCUGCACCGCAGCCGCUGCCGCUGCGCCUGCCGCAGCCCCCUGGGCGGCUUGAUGCCACGCCGCCGCCUCCUGGGGCAGCGGGAAGGCCUGCACCUCCCCGGGCAGGUGCAGCAGCGCCUCGUGGCGUGCCAGCGAGGCCUGCGCGUCAUCCAGCGCCUCCUCCGCCGCCGCCGCCUGCGGCAGGCCGUUCUCGGCCACCUCCCACCCGUCCGCCACGGGCGCCCACCAGUCAUCGCCUCGGUCCAGGAGCAGCUGCUCGCCGGGCCGCAGGUCGCGGACGGCCACCAGCACCGGCAGCACCACGCCGCGCACCGCAACCGGCACCACCUAGCAAUUGGAGGAGCGAGGCGGUUCCAAGGCCUACCUCAAGAAAGCUCGAAAGGGCAACGUGCAUGGCCUCGGGUUUCGGGUCACACGGAGUUUGGGAGCUGCAUGAAAACAGCCCGCAGCGCAGGGCGCUACCGCAAGACAGUCCCAGUCCGCCGUGUCACGCAAUACCGCGUCCGCCCCGUCCGCCUGCCCGCUCCCAUCCCCGCGCGCACCCACCACGCAGUUGGCCUGGCGCUCCUCCUCCGGAGGCUCCGGCAGCUCUAAGUCAUCCGUCGCGUGCCGCCGCUGCCCCGGGUCGUUCACCAGCGCCAACACGCUGCGUGCCGCCCCCAUGCUGAACAGCGUGAACUCCUGCUGCCGCGGCGCCGGCAGCUGCGAGUGCAUGCAGUGGGCGCUGUCCGGGGGCGCGAUACCUGUGCCUGCUCCGGCUGCUGCAGCGGCUGUUGCCAGGUCCGCUGCCGCGGCUGCUGCUGCUUUGGCGGCAGCCGCCGCGCCCGGCGUCUCCGUCAGCUCCGGCGGGUAGGGCAGGCGGUAGGACAGGGACAGGAAGCGCCACACCUCUCCAGUCUCGCCGCGCCGCCGCAGCUCCAGCAGCAGAGCGGGGUCGCCGCGAGCUGGGCGGUGGCUGGACGCCGCGCGCGGGUGGCCCACGUAAGCGAACUUGUAGGCGUCCUCAGAGCCGCCCGCAGUGCCCUGCGGGGCCGCACAGGUCGCGGGUGCGCGCGACAUGGAGCGAGCAGAUGCCUUACUACUUGCGUACAUCCCACCUUGACUUACGUAGAUCCCACCUUGACUUACGUAGAUCCCACCUUUCUUGCGUACAUCCCACCUCUGCCCGCUUCAUGACGACGCUCAAGAACCCGCCUUCUGACUGCCAUACUCGGGACGUCAAGCUACGCACGCGCUCACCUGCAGCAGCCAACCAGGCAUCACACCCAAGGGGUGGAACUUCCGGACCUCCGUGGUCACGCACGCGCCCAGCCCGCCGCGCCGGGCGUCGCGGCACGCCACCACGCAGGGUAGCGUCACGGGGCCGCGCGGCAGCGGCGUGGUGGCGUCAUACAAGUCCUGUUGUGGGAGAACGAGGGCGGCCCAGGUUUGCUAACAUUCCGUUGCAGAACCCUUUUGCAGUGGUCAAAUGUCAAUCAAGCGUCCAUAUGGACACAUUGUCCUGGCUUGUUUGGGAUCACGUUCGGGGCGUGUGCGGUGUUCCAGACUGGACAAUACGCUCGAGCGCACCUUGAGAUUCAGCAGGCUCGCAAGGCGGCGCUGAAGCACCCCGGUCCUGGUGCCGCUGCUGCUGCCGCCGCCCUCGCCGCCCCGAAAUAGAGCAUGCCAAGGCCUCGGCUGCGCCGACGCUGGCAGCGCCGCCUGCUGCCCCUGGCCUUUGUCUCCCUUUCUGCUGCCUCCACCAGGCAACGGCACGAUCUCGACUGCGGGCGUCUGCUCAUUGCCGGCGUGGCGUCGUAGCCAGUCCGCCCGCCCGGCGCGGGCGAAGGCGGCAGCCGCGGCAUUGCCACCGUCCCGCCUGACCGCAAACACGACGCCGCACAGUCGCAGCGACCCGUCGUCUGCAUCUUCCGCGGGCACCUCGCGUGCUGCUGCCUGCGGCGCGCCGCCGCCGGCCCCCGCAGCCUCCGAGGCACCAGGCAGCAGCCGCCUCCAGCGCAUCUGCUCCAGCGUGAUGGUGCCGGCGACCUGCUCCCACUGCGCAUCAGCGGCGGCGGGCGGCGUGAAGCUGGCGGGGUCGGCGCCGGCCGGCACCCAGCCGUCCGGGUCGUGCACGCAGGCGGCGGCGCCUGCCGCGCCGGCAGCCGCCGCGGUGCCGAGGCCGGGCUGCUGUAGCGGCUGGGGCUCCUGGGGCGACUUCCGCUGCUGCUGCUGCUGCUGCUGCUGCCCUGUUGCGACGUCGCGGGCCAGCGGCGGCGGCGAGACGCUCGGCUUGGGGCGCGCAGGCGCCACUGGAGCCGGCGGCGGCGCACGCGCCCGUGGCGGCGCGCCGUCCUUGGCCGCGGCCUCGCCUUUGCUGCCGGCAGACCUGGCGGCUGCCCCGCCGUCGGCACUCCGCGGGCUGGGGGCCUCCCGGCUGGUGGUGGCUGGCGCCGCCGGCGCUGCGGCCGCGACCCCGGGAUCCGUCACACCACGCGCCCCGUGUGCCACCGCCACGGCACCCCGCCGCGCCAGUCCUCCCGCUGCUGCCCCGGCACGCUCCCCCUCCUGCUCAUCGUCCUCAGAGCCCUCCUCGCCCUCAUCCAAGCCCUCAUACGCGCCCUGCUCCUGCCCCGACUGCUCGUCAGCUACGGCCGCGCCCCCCGGCCGACGCGAGACGCAGCGCACGGCGUAGUGCGGGGGGGCCAGCCGCACCGCGCCCGCCGCCAGCGGCCGUCCGGCAUUGUCGCAGGCUUCCAGGACCAACUCCUUGCCGACCGCCAAGCCCAAUCGCUUGCGCAUGUCAGCUGGAAUCGUCAUGUACAGGUUAGUCCUGCCGCUGCGUAAUGUACGCUGUGGAAUGCAGGCGGGGAGACAAGGCGGGGCGUUGGUGGGCCAGCGAGAGCCGUCGGAGCGCAUUAGAGCGCUAGCAGGUGGCAGUGAGGGUGCAGAGCAAAGUGACAGGCGUGGCGGGCGGGACGUUGGAUUCCAGACUUGGACAUGCAGGGAAUGGCGCGGCUCACCGUAAAGGUUUCCUUCGUCCGCCCAAUGUGCAGGACCACUGAGCUGCCUAUGCCCAGCCCGGCGAACCCGCCGCCCCGACAGCACCACGCCCUGGGGAUGAUGAUGCACCUGCGCCGGCAAAUAACAACACAGAAAGGGCCGGCGCAUGUUUGCACCACCACCCCUUGAGUGACCGCAGUUGCCAGGAGCUUCGUCCCAAGCCGAGUGCCGAAAGCUAUCAGCCAAUGCCUGCCAGUGUGGGGGUUCAUGUUAAUGCGCUUACCCGUCGGCGUCGGUUUUCGACAGCACCUUGCAGCAGGCCGGAAGGGCUGCACCCGCCUCCGCCGCCACCGCCGCCGCAGCCCUGUCCCCGCCAUGCUGUGCCGCCGCCGCCGCCGCCGCCGCCGCGAGGCGCCCAGAUUGUGGCAGCGCCUCCACGAUCACCUCAUCUUCGCCGUCCAACACGGCCUCAUCCUCGGACUGCAGGACCUCAUCCUCAUCCGGCUCCUCAUCCUCGUCUUCAUCCUCGUCCGUCACCGCACCCGCGGCCCCUCUAGCGGCCGCGCCGGCAUUGCCAGCGGCUCGGCCGGACCUGCCAUGUAGUCCCGCCCCGUCGGUGCCGGUGCCUAGGACCUCCAGACAGACGUGGCGCGGCGUCAGCGGUGCGUCGCCGGGCUGCAGCGGCCGGCCGUCCGCCCCGCACGGCGCGAGCGCCAGCACGCGCCCGCGCUCCAUGCGCAAUGCAUCCUUCAGGGCCUUGCCGAUACGAACGCCCAGUGCGCCCGAGAGGCCCACGUUGGCCUGUGCGUUACGCAUGGGCCGGAAAGAGCUACUGACGGGUGGAGCGUUAAGCGUAGGCCCUAGCAAAGUGUUUUGUUGCGCGUGUGGUCACGCAAGUUGUCACGUGUCAGCAUGUACACACGGCUCGAGGGUAUUAACCCCAGGAGUCAUAGCGCUUCGCCAAAGUGCGCCGCACGUACCUGCGUGAACUCGGCAGAACCGCGCACGUGUAGGCACAAGACCUGCCCCCUCGUGGUACCCGCCAUGACUCCUCCCGCCUUCAGCCACGCCACAGGGAAUUUGACCUUCCUAUAAAUCAGAGCAUGCCCGCACGCGUGAAGGACAUGCGUUAUCCUAGGUAUGUACAGAUCGGCAUUCCUCAUCAAGGCCCUAGAGUAAUGCAUGCUCUUGCCCGACUUGAGCCUUGUACACAGUCAAACAGCAUUACGUACUGAGCGCAGUCGGUUUUGGUGAGCUCCUUCAUGCAGGAAAUGUUGAAGGUGGGGAAUCCGCCAGCCACCGCGCCAGGCGCCGGCACACUGCCCACAGCAGGGCCAGCACCAGCAGCUGGAUUGGAUUCCGCACGCUCCAUCCCGUCGACGCCUUGACCCUCUUGCUCCCCCGGCUCCGCCUCCUGCUGCUGCUCGUCCUCCUCCGCAGCCGCCAUAUGCGCAUCCGCCUCCCCCGCAUCCGGCACUGCGGCCGGCGACCGCGCCUGCGGCCGCCGCUGCGGCUGCAGGGGCUGCUGCUGGUCCGCCCUGGGUUGCAGGAGCGCGGCGCAGCCCGCGGCGAGGUCAGCCUUACGCACGCACCACACGGUGAAGUGCACGGGCGGCACUUUCCAGUCAGCUGCCAUCCGGGCCGCCGCUGCGGAGGCGUUCUCAUGCGCCUGUGCCGGCGACACGGCGGCGGC